CAUGCCCCUUAUACGCUGGGCUACACACGUGCUACAAUGGGUAGAACAGAGAGUCACAAAGCUGUGAAGUGGAGCUAAUCUCAGAAAACUAUUCUUAGUUCGGAUUGUACUCUGCAACUCGAGUACAUGAAGUUGGAAUCGCUAGUAAUCGCGAAUCAGCAAUGUCGCGGUGAAUACGUUCUCGGGUCUUGUACACACCGCCCGUCACACCACGAGAGUUGGUUGCACCUGAAGUAGCAGGCCUAACCGUAAGGAGGGAUGCUCCGAGGGUGUGAUUAGCGAUUGGGGUGAAGUCGUAACAAGGUAUCCGUACGGGAACGUGCGGAUGGAUCACCUCCUUUCUAAGGAGUAUAAGUCUUUCUCUAUUCUAUUGGUAAUGUUCUUACAUUACUUCUGAACAUUGGAAACUAUAUAGUAGAACAAACAGGAAAAAAAUUAACUCUAACAAUUUCUUAGAGUUAGCUGUCAAAAAAUAGGUUAAAAUAAUUAAGGGCACACAAAGGAUGCCUAGGUAGUAAGAGCCGAUGAAGGACGUGGUAAGCUGCGAUAAGCCUAG
rnacentral:sRNA from 1 species